GUAAUCAUCCACAUCAAUAUUUUUAGAGUUCAUUUCACACACAAAAAAAAAGAGAAUGGCCUUGAAGACAAAUGUUUUGGUCAUAACACUUUAUUUGUUUGUGCUUCUGAUGAUUAUGUCUUCAGAGGUUGCUGCUAGGGACAUAUCUACUGGCCCUUCACUCAAAUCAAAUGAAGCUCAAGGUACAACUAUGCUGGUGACCCAAUCAUGGUUCGGAGAUAACAUUGGUCCAGUUUAUGAAGCUGCUUGCAAAUUGUGCAAAGUGUUGUGAUUAGUUCUAAUUAUUAGUACUAUAAAAUAAUAAACUAAUAAUCUCUUUUUCCUCUAAUAUAAUGUACGUGUAAGCUAUACAUGUGUUUAAAUAAAUGAAAAAUAUGAAUAUAUUAUAUGAUUUCUCCAUAA